UUAUUAUAUUGCAUAUCUGAAACUAAUAUAACACUGUAUGUUAGUUAUACUUGAAUAAAAAAAUAAUUAAAUGAAUUAAUUAAUCUAAAGUCUGUUCUAACAGUGGUUGGCGUAUGAGAGGAUCACAAGAAAUCCUCUGCCUCAUGAAGAGAACACCAGUGGAAUCCCCCCUUGGCCAGGACUCCUCCAGAAGCAGCUAAAAAAAUGUCAGUCGUGCUUUUCUUCAUCUCCUGUAACCAGAUUCUCACAACAGCCCCAUGAAGCUAUCUCAUUACAUGUGAUUUCUGAGUGAGCUUUGGACUCCCACUUGAAAGAAAUGGUCAGAUUGAGUCCUAGAAUGGAAAGAAAAGUGGAACAGAACUACCACAGUUUGAGACUGCCAACACAUAAUGUCUCUCUCUCUUUCAUGAUGAAGUCCAAGACCAUGGAUGGGAUCUUUCAGGAUCACAAAAUACAUGUAUAUUUCCUUUCAUGGAAAAAGGAACUUCUUAAAAACCAAUAAUCUUUUAAAUGGCAUUGUGGGAAGAAGGAUUCUUCAUGCCAGGUUCUACAUCCAAAUGAACUGAGGAAAGGUACCAUGUGACAGAUAAUCAUGGAUAAAUACAAUAGGAAGCUUAACUUCCUCCUGGAGAUUGUCCAGAGCGUCUUGGCGCUAAGCCAGUGUUCCCACUCCUGCUCCUGAGUACUAUUUGCGAUAGCUAAAUUAUGGAAGCAGCCCAAGUGGUCAUGGAUUGAUGAAU